rnacentral:rRNA from 1 species
GGUGAACGCUGGCGGCGUGCUUAAGACAUGCAAGUCGAACGGCAGUCUUCGGACUGUAGUGGCGCACGGGUGAGUAACGCGUAACUGACCUACCCCAAAGUCGCGGAUAACGAUUCGAAAGAAUCGCUAAUACGUGAUGUGCUGUCAGAUUGUGUUCUGCCAGUAAAGAUUGAUUGCUUUGGGAUGGGGUUGCGUUCCAUCAGCUAGUUGGUGGGGUAAAGGCCACCAAGGCGACGACGGAUAGCCGGCCUGAGAGGGUGGCCGGCCACAGGGGCACUGGGACACGGGUCCCACUCCUACGGGAGGCAGCAGUUAGGAAUCUUCCACAAUGGGCGAAAGCCUGAUGGAGCGACGCCGCGUGAGGGAUGAAGGUCUUCGGAUCGUAACCUCUGAAUCAGGGACGAAAGACACUUCGGUGGGAUGACGGUACCUGAGUAAUAGCACCGGCUAACUCCGUGCCAGCCGCCGCUGUAAGAC